UUCUGGCUCAGGAUGAACGCUAGCUACAGGCUUAACACAUGCAAGGUCGAGGGGCAUCAUGGAGUUGCUUGCAAACUCUGAUGGCGACCGGCGCACGGGUGAGUAACGCGUAUCCAACCUUCCCUAUAGUAGAGGAUAGCCCGGCGAAAGUCGGAUUAAUACUCUAUGUUUUCCGUUGCAGACAUCUAAGAUGGAACAAAGGCUUGCCGCUAUAGGAUGGGGAUGCGUCUGAUUAGGUAGUCGGCGGGGUAACGGCCCACCGAGCCAUCGAUCAGUAGGGGUUCUGAGAGGAAGGUCCCCCACAUUGGAACUGAGACACGGUCCAAACUCCUACGGGAGGCAGCAGUGAGGAAUAUUGGUCAAUGGGCGAGAGCCUGAACCAGCCAAGUAGCGUGCAGGAUGACGGCCCUAUGGGUUGUAAACUGCUUUUAUGCGGGGAUAAAGUUCACUACGUGUAGUGUUUUGUAGGUACCGCAUGAAUAAGGACCGGCUAAUUCCGUGCCAGCAGCGGC
rnacentral:rRNA from 1 species